rnacentral:rRNA from 1 species
AUUGAACGCUGGCGGAAUGCUUUACACAUGCAAGUCGAACGGCAGCACGGACUUCGGUCAGGUGGCGAGUGGCGAACGGGUGAGUAAUGUAUCGGAACGUGCCCAGUCGUGGGGUAUAACGUAGUGAAAAUUACGCUAAUACCGCAUACGAUCUAUGGAUGAAAGCGGGGGAUCGCAAGACCUCGCGCGAUUGGAGCGGCCGAUAUCAGAUUAGGUAGUUGGUGGGGUAAAGGCCCACCAAGCCAACGAUCUGUAGCUGGUCUGAGAGGACGACCAGCCACACUGGAACUGAGACACGGUCCAGACUCCUACGGGAGGCAGCAGUGGGGAAUUUUGGACAAUGGGCGAAAGCCUGAUCCAGCCAUUCCGCGUGCAGGAUGAAGGCCCUCGGGUUGUAAACUGCUUUUGUACAGAACGAAAAGGUUUCUACUAAUACUAGGAGCUCAUGACGGUACUGUAAGAAUAAGCACCGGCUAACUACGUGCCAGCCGCCGCGGUAA